UUUCCGUAGGUGAACCUGCGGAAGGAUCAUUAUUGUAUAACCGAGGUGCGAGGGCUGUCGCUGACCCGAAAGGUCGUGCACGCCCGAGUGCCCUCACACACAUCCAUCUCACCCCUAUGUGCACCACCGCGUGGGUCCCCCUUUGGCUUGUUCGGAGGGGGGCUUACGUUUUCACACAAACUUUGUAUGCAGUAUAGAACGUAUUUUUUGUUUUUGCGAUCACGCAAUCAAUACAACUUUCAACAACGGAUCUCUUGGCUCUC
rnacentral:misc_RNA from 1 species